UGCUAGUGGCUCUGGCACUUCAGGAUCCAUUUUUUCCUGGAGUCCUAACCUUGAUGGGGUCUGCUUUGAUUACCAGGAUAAUUGUCUGAGUUGUCAUGAAGGCAAUAGUAGAAUGGCAUGUGCUGCAGGCUGAGAACUACUAAAGGUGGAUGUCUGUGCCUGGGAAGAGUUUUGAGGACGACCUUGGACACAGCCUAGAGCCCCUAUCAGGUCUAUGUGACUACUCCCAUAGCUGCCAACUUCUGGAUGUGGACUCCAGGAUCAUCUGAAGAUGCCUGCUCCAAGUGGACACCUCUUCCCACCCCCUGAGGAAGAAGAAGGUUUUCCCCACACCUUUCUUGGUCUACAGGUGAAGCCUUCAGCUUAUCUUUGACCAAAAGGAGGAAAUG